GACGAACGCUGGCGGCGUGCUUAACACAUGCAAGUCGAACGGAAAGGCCUGCUUUCCCUUGUGGAUUGCGGGUACUCGAGUGGCGAACGGGUGAGUAACACGUGAGUGAUCUGCCCCCAACUUGGGUAUAAGCCUGGGAAACUGGGUCUAAUUCCCGAUAGGACUGCAGGGUGGUGCCUGUGGUGGAAAACGAUCUUCUAGUGGUUGGGGAUGAGCUCGCGGCCUAUCAGCUUGUUGGUGGGGUAAUGGCCUACCAAGGCGGCGACGGGUAGCCGGCCUGGGAGGGUGGACGGCCACAUUGGGACUGAGAUACGGCCCAGACUCCUACGGGAGGCAGCAGUGGGGAAUAUUGCACAAUGGGCGGAAGCCUGAUGCAGCGACGCCGCGUGGGGGAUGACGGCCUUCGGGUUGUAAACUCCUUUCGACCGCGAGGAAGCCACCUGGUUGGAAGGGUGGUGACGGUAGUGGUAGAAGAAGCACCGGCUAACUACGUG
rnacentral:rRNA from 1 species